rnacentral:rRNA from 1 species
AGCGAACGCUGGCGGCAGGCCUAACACAUGCAAGUCGAACGGACCCUUCGGGGUUAGUGGCGGACGGGUGAGUAACACGUGGGAACGUACCUUUUGGUUCGGAAUAGCUCUUGGAAACGGGAGGUAAUGCCGAAUGUGCCCUUAGGGGGAAAGAUUUAUCGCCAUUAGAGCGGCCCGCGUUGGAUUAGAUAGUUGGUGUGGUAAAGGCGGACCAAGUCUACGAUCCAUAGCUGGUCUGAGAGGAUGAUCAGCCACACUGGGACUGAGACACGGCCCAGACUCCUACGGGAGGCAGCAGUGGGGAAUCUUGCGCAAUGGUCGAAAGACUGACGCAGCCAUGCCGCGUGAAUGAUGAAGGUCUUAGGAUUGUAAAAUUCUUUUAGUAGGGACGAUAAUGACGGUACCUACAGAAAAAGCCCCGGCUAACUUCGUGCCAGCCGCCGCGGUAACAC